AGUGAACGCUGGCGGUAGGCCUAACACAUGCAAGUCGAACGGCAGCACAGGAGAGCUUGCUCUCUGGGUGGCGAGUGACGGACGGGUGAGGAAUACAUCGGAAUCUACUCUGUCGUGGGGGAUAACGUAGGGAAACUUACGCUAAUACCGCAUACGACCUACGGGUGAAAGCAGGGGAUCUUCGGACCUUGCGCGAUUGAAUGAGCCGAUGUCGGAUUAGCUAGUUGGCGGGGUAAAGGCCCACCAAGGCGACGAUCCGUAGCUGGUCUGAGAGGAUGAUCAGCCACACUGGAACUGAGACACGGUCCCGACUCCUACGGGAGGCAGCAGGGGGGAAUAUUGGUCAAUGGGCGCAAGCCUGAUCCAGCCAUACCGCGUGGGUGAAGAAGGCCUUCGGGUUGUAAAGCCCUUUUGUUGGGAAAGAAAUCCAGCUGGCUAAUACCCGGUUGGGAUGACGGUACCCAAAGAAUAAGCACCGGCUAACUUCGUGCCAGCCGCCGCGGUAA
rnacentral:rRNA from 1 species